rnacentral:ncRNA from 12 species
UCACCCUUCAGAGGCUUAGAUGCCUACCCCGCAACUUGGGCGCUUGGGGUACGCGGAGCCAGUAGCGCAACCGGCCGAGGGCUUC